ensembl:lincRNA C230014O12Rik RIKEN cDNA C230014O12 gene
UUCAGCAAUAAGCCCGCGCGUGGCGCCCGGCCCAGAAAGGUACAAUAACUGUAUAUUUUAACUUAAUGGUUUUUUGGGGGGCAUGCAAAUUUCUGUGAGCAGAUUGUGUUGAGGCCUGGGCUUGGAGCGGCCUCCCUGAGCCCCAGAAGCCCCCCGGAGCACCCCCGGCUCAGUGAAGGUUGCCCGUGUCAAAAUCGAGAUAUCAAACACCGAGGCUGAAAGACAAGGUAGGAGGCAAGCUGAGGUCCAGAGAUGGCAUGACAGCCUGGAGUUCCACGGGGGCCAGCCUUGGGCAAGAUCCUGUGGAGCCUGAAUCCAAACUCAGCCCAAGAUAUUCCUUCUGCUCUGGCUGAUUCCAUUUUCCUGCUCAGGGUCAACUCAUACAUCCUCCCUGCAAGGACCUCGUAGGCCUCUGUGGUCAGGAAGCCACUUGGGGAGGACCCUCAGAUGAUGGUUUCUGGGGACAGUGAUAUUGGAACCUGUCUUCCCUCCCACCUCAGUGAGCCCUUGGGGAUGUCCAGCUCCAGGAGACAGGGCUAAGGAGGCCAGCAAAAGGGUGACUUCUUCCCUUCUCACCCUGUUAUUCU